rnacentral:rRNA from 1 species
UACAGAGGAGCCAAGCGUUGUCCGGAUUGACUGGGCGUAAAGAGCUCGUAGGCGGUCUGUCGCGUCGAUCGUGAAAACUUGGGGCUUAACCCUGAGCUUGCGGUCGAUACGGGCAUGACUGGAGUUCGGCAGGGGGAGACUGGAAUUCCUGGUGUAGCGGUGAAAUGCGCAGAUAUCAGGAGGAACACCAAUGGCGAAGGCAGAUCUCUGGGCCGUAACUGACGCUGAGGAGCGAAAGCAUGGGGGAGCGAACAGG